UUUUUUUGACGAGAGGAGGACCCCAUUUCUAUUAUUGUCAUAACAGAAAUACAAAGUGGUUCAGAUAGUUUCCACACUACCAACGCAAAAUAACAGGAAGAACCCGCAAACAGAAGCGCUGACGAGCCAAUCCGCUUCGGAUGACUCAGAACAGCCGGGUCCCCUACCAGGCAACAUGCCAACCGACGAGUUUAGAGUUUUACAUCACACAAGUACCAGACCAUACGACAUAACAGACGGCAGCAAAAUAGAGCGAGUUCCUGACAAAGCUAACACCAGGCGAGCAGUCACGUCAUGACUCAACGCCCGUGUGGCUGCAGCAUCCCUUCCAUCUCAUCGCCCGACCCGAGGAUCCGAUUUCCUCUAGCACUUGCAGCACGCACCAGCAUCUUGGCGCCCUCUUGCAGAAGGUCCUGGAGCUCUUUCUUGCUAAGCCCUGCCCAAGAAGACACAAGAGCACCCGCAUGGCAUAUGAUCUCAUUAGGAGAAUUUACAAGCACAUGAUCAAAACACAUUUUAUUUCUGGCUUUCCAGAUAGCCCAACAAAUUGCUGAAAUCAGAAUAACAUGAACAGCAUUGUCACAGUUGAGGUGUUUUCGAAGCCACCUAUAGCAAGACUCCACGUUGUUUGGAAUAUGAUGAGUAUCCAGACAUUUCGCCACAGUUCCCCAGAUCACUCUAGCAAUAGGGCAAGUGAAAAAGAGAUGCUCAAUGUUUUCAGCAUGAGGGCAGAAACAGCAUGAAGGGUCCCCAGACCACUUCCUCCUAAUCAAAUUAUCCUUAGUCAACAACCUGUUAUUCUCUAGGAACCACAUAAAAAUUUUAAUUUUCGGAGGGACCUUGCUUUUCCAAAUGUGCUUUUUGCCAAGAUCAGAGAUGUUGUUUGAUAAACUGUUAUACAUUGAUUUAACGGUAAAGGUUUUCUUCCCUCCCCAUUUCCACUGAACAGUGUCAGGAGAAUCUUGAAACUCGAAGUUCUCACAAUCACCGCAAAUUGAUAUCCAUCGAAUCUCAUUUUCAUUAUUUAGCCAUCUUCUGAAGGACAAUUGCCAAUUUUUUAUUCUUGCAUCUUUAACUAGAAUAAACUUGUCAUCACAAAUCUCAUAUAAUUCAGGAUCAAUUGUACAUAAAGGCCUCUCAUUUACCCAGCUGUCUAGCCAGAAUCUGGACUUAUCUCCACACUUAGUUGUGAUUUGUCUGCCUUUCAGGUAGAAAGCUCUGAUUUUCAUCAAGUCUUUCCAUACAGGGGAGUCAGAGUUUCUCACUUUUAUAUUGUAUAAGUCUUUUCCAUGAAAGUAUUUCUUGACAAUUAUCUUUUGCCAAAGACUCGAUUCAUUUUCAAUCUUCCACCACCAUUUACAAAGAAGGCUUAUGUUUAAAGCUUCAAGAUUUUUAAUGCCCAAACCUCCAUUUUUCUUUGUGUGACAAACUUUGUUCCAAUUUACCAAGUGAUACUUUUUUUUUCUCCACCACCUUGCCAAAGAAAUCUUCUUCUUUUGGCAUCUAGCUUUUUAAUAGUAGUUUUUGGAAGAAGAUACAUGGACAUAUGAUAAAUAGGUGAAUUAGUCAAGCAAGCAUCAAUAAGGGUAAUUCUCCCAGCCAUGGAUAGGCAAUUUCCUUUCCAUGUUUCAAGUCUCUUAUCAAAUUUUUCUUCAAGCCCAAUCCAGUCUGCAAUGCGAAGUCUAUUGGGGCUCACAGGGACACCUAAGUAUUUCAUAGGCAAAGUACCAAUCUGGCAUUUGAAAAGAUCAGCAAAAUUUGUUGUUGUUUCCUCAUCACCAUUUAUUACAAAAAUCUCACUCUUGAGAAAGUUUAUUUUCAAACCAGACAUCAGCUCAUACAUAUAUAGGAGCAAUUUCAGAUUUCUAGCUUUUUCAAAGUCAUCUCCAAUACAAAUGAUAGUGUCAUCAGCAUAUUGUAAAAUUAUGAGACCAUUAGGGAUAAUGUGACUGCAUAAACCAGUAAUAGCAUUAUUCUCUUGUGCCUUAAUAAGGAUUCUAGCCAAACUGUCAGCAACAAAGUUAAAGAGAAUAGGUGAUAGAGGGUCACCCUGUCUCACUCCCUUAUGACUUUUAAUAUAAUUACCAACUUUGUCAUUGAUCUUAACUCUGACAGUGCCAUCAUUGACAACUUUCUCCAUCCAAUUCAUCCAUUUUUCACAGAAACCUCUUUUCUCUAAACAGUGAAACAUAAAGUUCCAAUUGACUUUAUCAUAAGCUUUCUCAAAAUCUAGCUUUAAAAAGAUCCCUGUUUCAUUUUUCCUCUUAGUUUCAUGCAUAACCUCAUGGAGUGUCACAAUUCCACUCAUGAUGCUCCGACCUUUUAAAAAAGCAGUCUGAUGUUCAUUUAUAAGUUUCUGGGCAAAAGGUUCCAUUCUAUUAGUGAGCACCUUAGUGAUAAGUUUGUAUAGGCAGUUCAGGAGGCAUAUAGGUCUGAAUUGUUGAAUCUUUGCAGCAUCUCUGAUUUUUGGAAUGAGAGUUAUAAUUCCAUAAUUUAGACGGCUCACAUUCAGUUUUCCUUCAUGAAGGUCCUGAAACAUCUGCAUAACAUCUUCUUUUAUAGUAUCCCAACAGCUUUGAUAGAAUUCAGUUGGAAUGCCGUCGGGACCAGCAGCUUUGUUUUUUUCCAUUUGAAAUAAGGCUUGAGUAAUCUCUUUCAUUGUAAAAAACUCACACAGUGUGCGAUUCUCACUGUCAGAAAUAUGCUCAGCAUUGUUCCAAAUGGAGUCAUCCACCUAGAAGAGGUUUCCAGGUGCUGGGCCAAAGAGAUCAGCAUAAUAAUUAGUAGCAUGUUCAAGCAUAUGUUCUCCUUCAAUCCUUGUACCAUUGUCUUCAAAGAAGAGGAUAUCAUUUUUCUUUUUUCUUCCACUUGCAAUUCUAUGAAAAAACUCAUUAUUUCCAUCUCCUUUUAACAACCAUUUUUCAUGUGAUCUUUGUUUCCAAUAAGUUUCUUCUUCUAUAAUCAUAUCUAAAUUUUCUCCCAAAAGAGACAUUUUCAAUUCCAGUUGGUAAGUAUUUAAUCCAUAUUGUUCUUCAAGCUUUUCCAAGUUACCAAGAUCAACUUGAAUCUGGGCUUUUCUCUUCUUUUUCUGCCCCUUCAUGUUCCAAUCCCAACCUUUCAGAUAUUGUUUACAUAGUUUUAGUUUUUGCUGAAUUUUAUCAAGAGCACUCUUGGCUUUGCAAGGUUUACUCCAAAUAUUGUCAACAAUCUUUUUAAAAUCAGGAUGACUCAGCCAACCCUUUUCAAACUUAAAGGAGUGUUGAGUAUGGACUAGUUCAGGACCAGUCACUAACAUAAGAGGAUUGUGGUCCGAGAGUUCUCUGGGAAACUUCUUGAUCUUAGCUAGAGGAAAGAUAAUCUCCCAGGCCUUGCUGAUAAGAAUUCUAUCCAGUUUCACAAGUGUUGGAUCACUCUGGUUAUUGGACCAGGUGAAUCCACCUCCAAACAUAUGUACCUCAUGUAGUUCAUGGUAUUGAAUAAGGUCAUUGAAAGCAUCAGUAUGUUUAUGAACAGGUCCCAUUUUAUUCUUUUCGUGAGAAUACCGAAUAAUGUUAAAAUCUCCACCGACAACAAAUGGUUCAUUGUUUUUUGUGCAGAAAUGAGAUAACUCUUGAAGAAAACUCAACUUAUCUCUUUCAUGAGCAGGACCAUAAACAACGAUUAUAUUCCAUUUGAACAUAUGGAUUUUAUCCCAGAGAUCUAAUUGCAGCAUAUGUUUUCCUUGAAGGAAGGCCCCAACGUCAAACUGGAUGGUUCUAACACCAAUUAGAAUUCCACCGGAUUUCCCAGUAGAUGGGGACCACUUCCAAAAAAAAUCACCAUUAGGGUCAAACUUUUUAAGAACAUUCUCGUUAAUCUCUUCGGUCAUAGUCUCCAUCAGACCAACAAAGGCAAGUUUAUGUUGUGUUAUUAAACUUCUUAAGUACGUAGAUAAACCUUUUUUCCCAAGGCCUCUACAGUUCCAAAACAAUCUGUUCAUUGGAUGUCUAUUCAUUUUACACCCUUGUUGGUUUUUUUUUCAUUUGUGGCAGGGAUUUUCCCAGCACCUUUGGUUUUCUUUCUAUUUGGUUCAGGAUUUUCCUGACCUUUUCCAAUAGGAGAUAUUUUAAUGCCAAGUCUUUUCUCUCUUUUUUUCUUUCUAGAUUGGACAAUAGUGAAGUCGUCUGAUUCAGACCCUUCCUCAUUACAUAAGAAAUCAGAGUUGCUGCCAUGAUCAUCUUGCAUAUAGGCUGCAACCUCUUUACCCUUGUCUUUUUCUAGCUCUAUUUUUUUGAGCUAGACAUUCAUUUGCUAUUUCCAUUUCCUUGACUAAAUCAAUACUCUCUAAAUUGUCAUCUCUUAUUUUGAUACCAGCCUUAAAUGCUAAGUCAGCAAUAUCAUUAAGAGAAGAAAAAUCAACUUUUUGCCGGGUUGCAUAAAAUUUACCUUCCAAAUUCCUUUUAGCAGCUAUUCUUCUGUUCUUCUCCUCGAUUCUGAUUCCUGCGUCCUUCUUAAGUCUUUCACUAACCCUUCUAUCUUCUUUUUUAGUACACAUCUUUUCUUCAGCAUGCUUUUUGUUUUUAGGAUUCAUCAUAUCCUUCUCAGCUUCUUCUUUCUGAUCAACCUCUUCUUGUGAUCCAAGCAUGAUCCCACUAUCCUGAGUGCUUACCAGAAUUUCAUUCUUUUCUUCUUCAUCUUUAAAUUCAUCCACUAUUUCUUCAAUGACCAUGUUGCCCUUUUUUGUGGUUUCUUUUUUAUCAUAAGUUGCCCUCUCAUUUGCAUCUUCAUCCUUUUCACCAGUAUCCCAUUUUUUAUGUGUAUCAUACAUUCCAAUGUUCAUACCUGCAGCAAACAAUUCCUCCCCUAAAAGGUCACUUGUAUCCUCUUCUUCACUGUCUGUAAUUUGAACUCUUCCUUCUUUAGUCAAAUUCUCUUCAGUUGAAAUAUCUUGGAUGAUAUCUUUUCCUUUAUUCAGAUUCCACAUGUUUUUCUCAGCUGGUGGAGCAGGGGGAGCCUUCAUAUAUCUAUGCUGCAUGGGCUGGUCAUUUUUUCCUUUUUGCUGAUUAUUGUUAUACCCUUCUUGAGUCUUGCCUUUGUUUUUCCCUUCACUCCAGGGGUUUCCUUCAAACUUUGUUCUCUUAGCAUUAUUCUGAUCUUGAUCAUCAAUUUUGAUGCCACUACCACGAUUGUCAUGGGGGUCCUCUUCCUGAAUUUCCCUUUCAAAGUGAAAAUCAUAUAUAAAGAGACCCAAGGAACUCUCAACUGUGCAUGGAACAAUACUGACAUCUCUGCAGGCAAUCCUUACCCUUACAUAUUCAUUUCUCACACGGGUUUUUUCAUCAAUUUCAACUACCUUUCCCACUAAUCCACCCACUUUAGCAAUGGUUUUGAUAGAUCUCUGCUCAAUUGGGAUACCUCUGAUUCUAAACCAACCUCUUUGUAAACAGCUUUUGGCACUGACAACUGGAGACCAAGGAUCGAUGGUUAUUUGCGCUUUUGCCGUUCGCAUCCCCAGUGGCCUAAAGUAUCCCAGGUCUUUAAUCAUUUUAGGGUCUGGAAACCUCAUUAAAAACUUGUUUUCACCAAUGGAUCUGGCAGUCCACCUCCAAAUGUUUUUUCCAACUAGAUUUACAAACUCCUGCUCAAUCUGUUUUUCCCCAACUGUCCCUUGAACCACAGAGAUCACCGCAGUACUAGACCGCUCCCUUAUCAUUCUAGUAUCAAUGCUUUCCUCAAUAUAAAAAAAACUUUGAUCUUCAACUUGAGCCGCACACAACUCAGGACCCAGAUUCCAGGGUAAACAUUUUUUACAAUAAAAAACAGUAUGAUCAUCACCACCACAUGUUUCACAUGAAAAACGAUGGCGACAAUCUCUCGUCAAGUGAUUUUUUAGAUGACAGAAAUCACAUGGAGGCCUAUCAACAGCGGGUUUCCGAGGUACCUCUUUUUUGAUAUUCUCUUCUUUAAAAUCCUCAUCCUCAGCAACAUGCCUCCAAUCUAUUCCGCUUUUUCCUUCGGGCCUUUUUCUCUGCUGUUCCCAAGGGUUCUGCUGAUGGGGUUCUUCUCCCUUCAUCUUCUCUUCAUCUGUCGGGUCAGCUUCCUGUCUGUGAGCGCUUGAUGAGCCUUCUUCCACCCUUCUCCACACAUUCUCCCGCGCCGAUCUGCGACCAGUACCUCGAGAGGCAACACCUCCCCGCCUCCCGGCUCCUCUAGGUUGCAUCUUCACCACCGUGGUGGGCGCGCGGGGGUUUUUUACCACACUUGCAAAGGAUCUUCGCGGUUUCCCCCAGAAAUGGCCGACGAAGCGGCUGAGAUGUGAGAGAGUGGGAGACUUAGGGUUUGUCUCACUCGUAUGAAGGGGCUGGGCACCUUUUGCCAACUCGGGUGGGUGAUGCGAAUUAAAGUGACCUGGUUCAGGUUUUUUUGCUUCACCCCCCCUGUAUUUCCCAGAAAUCACCUCAACUCUAUUUUUACUUUUUUUUCUAGGUGGUGUUAACCACGCAGGAACGUAUACUCCAGGUUCCUUCUCUCUGAUAUCUCUGCACUUAAUAUCCCUGGUAGGUACCCAAUCAGACCAUUUCAGUUCAAUCGGUAGGUGUUUGAUUUUGAAAUUCUUCCAGACCUCCUUACCCUGAUUCAGGGUUUUUCUUCCUUUCUGAUUUUCAAUUUCGCACCAAAUUGGUUCUCUGGGAUCGGUUAUUUGUGGAUCCAUGAACAAAUGAACACGAGGAAAAUAUUGGUGAGGAUCAAACCCACCGAGCACAAGACAAAACUAAAAAUAAAGCGAGAACAAACAAAUCGGAUGGGGAAUCAGAGCUCCCGGGUCACGACACAAUCAACAGACUCCGAAUGAAGAGAGACGGGAGCGAAUCAAACACAAGAGAAUAAUCACACAUCGACAAGGAUCCCAGAGUGCUGGUACCUUUUACGAUGCCGCAAUGGUGACGACGAAGCUAUCUUCCGCGUACCUAUCCUCGAGAAGCUUCGAAGGGAACUCGGAUGGCCUCCACCUCCAUAGUCCGCUGUCCGCUCUUAGUAGUGCUGCGGCUGCUCACGCAGUCGUCGCCGGGGACGGAGAGAUGCGGGUUGUAGAGAGUGCAGGUCGCCACCCUAGACUUACAGCCUCGACGAGCGAAGCCCGCCGCGCCGCGCC
rnacentral:lncRNA from 1 species